rnacentral:tRNA from 1 species
UGUUCGGUGGCUAAGUUGGUUUAAGCGCCGGUCUAGUAAACACGGAGUCGUGGGUUCGAAUUCCACCAGAACGC